CCUACGGGAUGCAGCAGUGGGGAAUAUUGGACAAUGGGCGAAAGCCUGAUCCAGCCAUGCCGCGUGUGUGAAGAAGGCCUUCGGGUUGUAAAGCACUUUCAGUGGGGAAGAAAGCCUUGGGGCUAAUACCCUCGAGGAAGGACAUCACCCACAGAAGAAGCACCGGCUAACUCCGUGCCAGCAGCCGCGGUAAUACGGAGGGUGCGAGCGUUAAUCGGAAUUACUGGGCGUAAAGCGCGCGUAGGCGGUCUGAUAAGCCGGUUGUGAAAGCCCCGGGCUCAACCUGGGAACGGCAUCCGGAACUGUCAGGCUAGAGGGCAGGAGAGGAAGGUAGAAUUCCCGGUGUAGCGGUGAAAUGCGUAGAGAUCGGGAGGAAUACCAGUGGCGAAGGCGGCCUUCUGGACUGACACUGACGCUGAGGUGCGAAAGCGUGGGUAGCAAACAGGAUUAGAUACCCGGGUAGUC
rnacentral:rRNA from 1 species